UAGACCGCCUGGGGAGUACGGCCGCAAGGUUAAAACUCAAAUGAAUUGACGGGGGCCCGCACAAGCGGUGGAGCAUGUGGUUUAAUUCGAUGCAACGCGAAGAACCUUACCUGGUCUUGACAUCCACAGAACUUUCCAGAGAUGGAUUGGUGCCUUCGGGAACUGUGAGACAGGUGCUGCAUGGCUGUCGUCAGCUCGUGUUGUGAAAUGUUGGGUUAAGUCCCGCAACGAGCGCAACCCUUAUCCUUUGUUGCCAGCGGUUAGGCCGGGAACUCAAAGGAGACUGCCAGUGAUAAACUGGAGGAAGGUGGGGAUGACGUCAAGUCAUCAUGGCCCUUACGACCAGGGCUACACACGUGCUACAAUGGCGCAUACAAAGAGAAGCGACCUCGC
rnacentral:rRNA from 2 species